UAAAAGGGGAGCUUGUACACAGGCUGAGAGGAAGGUUGACCUUCGACCCAUGACCUGAUUUGGAUAAUGCCAACGUAGGGACUAUAUUAU
rnacentral:ncRNA from 1 species